UACGGAGGGUGCGAACGUUAAUCGGAAUUACUGGGCGUAAAGCGCACGUAGGCGGUUCGCUAAGUGGGAUGUGAAAUCUCCUGGCUCAACUAGGAGAGGUCGUUCAAUACUGCCAGACUAGAGGACGGUAGAGGAAGGUAGAAUUCCCGGUGUAGUGGUGAAAUGCGUAGAUAUCGGGAGGAAUACCAGUGGCGAAGGCGGCCUUCUGGGCCGUUCCUGACGCUCAGACGCGAAAGCGUGGGUAGCGAACGGG
rnacentral:rRNA from 1 species